UAUUAAAGGCAACGCCUGCCCAGUGAAUAAUUAAACGGCCGCGGUACCCUAACCGUGCAAAGGUAGCGCAAUCACUUGUCUAUUAAUUGUAGACCUGUAUGAAAGGCACAAUGAGGGCCUAACUGUCUCUUUUAGCAAAUCAAUUAAACUGAUCUCCCAGUCCAAAAGCUGGAAUAUUAACAUAAGACCAGAAGACCCUGUGAAGCUUUAACUAAACUAUUAAACCAAAUAAUAGCUCCUUUAGGUUGGGGCGACCUUGGAAAAAAAAAGAACUUCCAAACAUACAAUAUAUAAUAAUAUUGACCAGGCCAACAAGCCAACAACGACCCAGCAUAGCUGACAGCUGAACCAAGCUACUCCAGGGAUAACAGCGCUAUCUUCUUCAAGAGCCCAUAUCAAAAAGAAGGUUUACGACCUCGAUGUUGGAUCAGGACAUCCUAAUGGUGCAGCAGCUAUUAAAGGUUCGUUUGUUCAACGAUUAACAGUCCUACGUGAUC
rnacentral:rRNA from 1 species